rnacentral:rRNA from 1 species
AGUGACGAUAGCCUAGGAGAUACACCUGUACCCAUGUCGAACACAGCAGUUAAGCCCUAGAACGCCUGAUGUAGUUGGGGGUUGCCCCCUGUGAGAUAAGGUAGUCGCUUAGCU